AUUGAACGCUGGCGGCGUGCUUAACACAUGCAAGUCGAGCGGUAACAGGCGUAGCAAUACGUGCUGACGAGCGGCGAACGGGUGCGUAAUACAUGGGAAUCUGCCUAGUAGUGGGGAAUAACCCGGCGAAAGCCGGGCUAAUGCCGCAUACGAUCCACGGAUGAAAGCGGGGGACCUUCGGGCCUCGCGCUAUUAGUUGAGCCCAUGUCGGAUUAGCUAGUUGGUGAGGUAACGGCUCACCAAGGCGACGAUCCGUAGCUGGUCUGAGAGGACGGCCAGCCACACUGGGACUGAGACACGGCCCAGACUCCUACGGGAGGCAGCAGUGGGGAAUAUUGGACAAUGGGGGAAACCCUGAUCCAGCGACGCCGCGUGUGUGAAGAAGGCCUGCGGGUUGUAAAGCAC
rnacentral:rRNA from 1 species